GACAGAGGGUGCAAACGUUGCUCGGAAUCACUGGGCGUAAAGGGCGUGUAGGCGGGCAGGUAAGUCGGGCGUGAAAUCCCUGAGCUCAACUCAGGAACUGCACUCGAAACUACUUGUCUUGAGUACCGGAGAGGAAAGCGGAAUACCUGGUGUAGAGGUGAAAUUCGUAGAUAUUCGCAAGAACACCAGUGGCGAAGGCGGCUCACUGGCCCGGUACUGACGCUGAGGUGCGAAAGCGUGGGGAGCAAACAGG
rnacentral:rRNA from 1 species